rnacentral:rRNA from 1 species
UACAGAGGGUGCGAGCGUUGUUCGGAAUUACUGGGCGUAAAGCGCGCGCAGGCGGCCUUUUAAGUCUGACGGUGAAAUGCCGGGGCUCAACCCAGGAACUGCGUCCGAUACUGGCAGGCUUGAAUUCGGGAGAGGGAUGUGGAAUUCCUGGUGUAGCGGUGAAAUGCGCAGAUAUCAGGAGGAACACCGAUGGCGAAGGCAGGACUCUGGGCAUUAACUGACGCUGAGGAGCGAAAGCAUGGGGAGCGAACAGG